UUAAUUUAACGGCCGCGGUAUCUUGACCGUGCAAAGGUAGCAAAUCAAUUAUCCCCUAAAUAGGGACCAGUAUGAACGGCAUCACGAGGGUUUGACUGUCUCCCUACUCUAAUUAAUAAAAUUGAUCUUCCCGUGAAGAAGCGGGAAUGUAAAUAUAAGACGAAAAGACCCCAUGGAGCUUUAAACUUAUUAUCAUCUAUCAAAAAUUUUAAAACAAACACUGAUAAAUAUGAUAGAUAGUUUUCGGUUGGGGCGACCCUGGAGAAAAACUAAUCCUCCAAGCUGUAAGAUUAAAUUCUAAUGUUAGAGUAACAACUCAAACAAUCAAAACCUUGACAAAAUGACCCAGAAUAUAUCUGAUCAACGAACCAAGUUACCCUGGGGAUAACAGCGCAAUCCAUUUCAAGAGCCCCUAUCGACAAAUGGGUUUACGACCUCGAUGUUGGAUCGGGGUGUCCUAGCAACGCAGCCGCUGCUAAAGGUUCGUUUGUUCAACGAUUAAUAUCCCACGUGAUCUGAGUUCAGACCGGA
rnacentral:rRNA from 1 species